rfam:Stegodyphus mimosarum contig48396, whole genome shotgun sequence.
AAAAUGGCUUUUUUAAAAGCCAUGAACAGAACACGAUUGAUAAUG